rnacentral:rRNA from 1 species
GGUUAAGCGACUAAGCGUACACGGUGGAUGCCCUGGCAGUCAGAGGCGAUGAAGGACGUGCUAAUCUGCGAUAAGCGUCGGUGAGGUGAUAUGAACCGUUAUAACCGGCGAUUUCCGAAUGGGGAAACCCAGUGUGUUUCGACACACUAUCAUUAACUGAAUCCAUAGGUUAAUGAGGCGAACCGGGGGAACUGAAACAUCUAAGUACCCCGAGGAAAAGAAAUCAACCGAGAUUCCCCCAGUAGCGGCGAGCGAACGGGGAGGAGCCCAGAGCCUGAAUCAGUGUGUGUGUUAGUGGAAGCGUCUGGAAAGGCGCGCGAUACAGGGUGACAGCCCCGUACACAAAAAUGCACAUACUGUGAGCUCGAUGAGUAGGGCGGGACACGUGGUAUCCUGUCUGAAUAUGGGGGGACCAUCCUCCAAGGCUAAAUACUCCUGACUGACCGAUAGUGAACCAGUACCGUGAGGGAAAGGCGAAAAGAACCCCGGCGAGGGGAGUGAAAAAGAACCUGAAACCGUGUACGUACAAGCAGUGGGAGCCUCUUAAUGGGGUGACUGCGUACCUUUUGUAUAAUGGGUCAGCGACUUAUAUUCUGUAGCAAGGUUAACCGAAUAGGGGAGCCGAAGGGAAACCGAGUCUUAACUGGGCGUUAAGUUGCAGGGUAUAGACCCGAAACCCGGUGAUCUAGCCAUGGGCAGGUUGAAGGUUGGGUAACACUAACUGGAGGACCGAACCGACUAAUGUUGAAAAAUUAGCGGAUGACUUGUGGCUGGGGGUGAAAGGCCAAUCAAACCGGGAGAUAGCUGGUUCUCCCCGAAAGCUAUUUAGGUAGCGCCUCGUGAAUUCAUCUCCGGGGGUAGAGCACUGUUUCGGCAAGGGGGUCAUCCCGACUUACCAACCCGAUGCAAACUGCGAAUACCGGAGAAUGUUAUCACGGGAGACACACGGCGGGUGCUAACGUCCGUCGUGAAGAGGGAAACAACCCAGACCGCCAGCUAAGGUCCCAAAGUCAUGGUUAAGUGGGAAACGAUGUGGGAAGGCCCAGACAGCCAGGAUGUUGGCUUAGAAGCAGCCAUCAUUUAAAGAAAGCGUAAUAGCUCACUGGUCGAGUCGGCCUGCGCGGAAGAUGUAACGGGGCUAAACCAUGCACCGAAGCUGCGGCAGCGACACUAUGUGUUGUUGGGUAGGGGAGCGUUCUGUAAGCCUGCGAAGGUGUGCUGUGAGGCAUGCUGGAGGUAUCAGAAGUGCGAAUGCUGACAUAAGUAACGAUAAAGCGGGUGAAAAGCCCGCUCGCCGGAAGACCAAGGGUUCCUGUCCAACGUUAAUCGGGGCAGGGUGAGUCGACCCCUAAGGCGAGGCCGAAAGGCGUAGUCGAUGGGAAACAGGUUAAUAUUCCUGUACUUGGUGUUACUGCGAAGGGGGGACGGAGAAGGCUAUGUUGGCCGGGCGACGGUUGUCCCGGUUUAAGCGUGUAGGCUGGUUUUCCAGGCAAAUCCGGAAAAUCAAGGCUGAGGCGUGAUGACGAGGCACUACGGUGCUGAAGCGACAAAUGCCCUGCUUCCAGGAAAAGCCUCUAAGCAUCAGGUAACAUCAAAUCGUACCCCAAACCGACACAGGUGGUCAGGUAGAGAAUACCAAGGCGCUUGAGAGAACUCGGGUGAAGGAACUAGGCAAAAUGGUGCCGUAACUUCGGGAGAAGGCACGCUGAUAUGUAGGUGAAGUCCCUCGCGGAUGGAGCUGAAAUCAGUCGAAGAUACCAGCUGGCUGCAACUGUUUAUUAAAAACACAGCACUGUGCAAACACGAAAGUGGACGUAUACGGUGUGACGCCUGCCCGGUGCCGGAAGGUUAAUUGAUGGGGUUAGCGGCAACGCGAAGCUCUUGAUCGAAGCCCCGGUAAACGGCGGCCGUAACUAUAACGGUCCUAAGGUAGCGAAAUUCCUUGUCGGGUAAGUUCCGACCUGCACGAAUGGCGUAAUGAUGGCCAGGCUGUCUCCACCCGAGACUCAGUGAAAUUGAACUCGCUGUGAAGAUGCAGUGUACCCGCGGCAAGACGGAAAGACCCCGUGAACCUUUACUAUAGCUUGACACUGAACAUUGAGCCUUGAUGUGUAGGAUAGGUGGGAGGCUUUGAAGUGUGGACGCCAGUCUGCAUGGAGCCGACCUUGAAAUACCACCCUUUAAUGUUUGAUGUUCUAACGUGGGCCCGUAAUCCGGGUUGCGGACAGUGUCUGGUGGGUAGUUUGACUGGGGCGGUCUCCUCCUAAAGAGUAACGGAGGAGCACGAAGGUUGGCUAAUCCUGGUCGGACAUCAGGAGGUUAGUGCAAUGGCAUAAGCCAGCUUGACUGCGAGCGUGACGGCGCGAGCAGGUGCGAAAGCAGGUCAUAGUGAUCCGGUGGUUCUGAAUGGAAGGGCCAUCGCUCAACGGAUAAAAGGUACUCCGGGGAUAACAGGCUGAUACCGCCCAAGAGUUCAUAUCGACGGCGGUGUUUGGCACCUCGAUGUCGGCUCAUCACAUCCUGGGGCUGAAGUAGGUCCCAAGGGUAUGGCUGUUCGCCAUUUAAAGUGGUACGCGAGCUGGGUUUAGAACGUCGUGAGACAGUUCGGUCCCUAUCUGCCGUGGGCGCUGGAGAAUUGAGGGGGGCUGCUCCUAGUACGAGAGGACCGGAGUGGACGCAUCACUGGUGUUCGGGUUGUCAUGCCAAUGGCACUGCCCGGUAGCUAAAUGCGGAAGAGAUAAGUGCUGAAAGCAUCUAAGCACGAAACUUGCCCCGAGAUGAGUUCUCCCUGACCCUUUAAGGGUCCUGAAGGAACGUUGAAGACGACGACGUUGAUAGGCCGGGUGUGUAAGCGCAGCGAUGCGUUGAGCUAACCGGUACUAAUGAACCGUGAGGCUUAACCUU